GACGAACGCUGGCGGCGUGCUUAACACAUGCAAGUCGAACGAUGAAGCUGGAGCUUGCUCUGGCGGAUUAGUGGCGAACGGGUGAGUAACACGUGAGAAAUCUGCCCUCGACUCUGGGAUAACUGCGGGAAACUGUAGCUAAUACCGGAUACCUUCCCUGGUGGGCAUCCACUGGGGAAGAAAGAAUUUCGGUCAAGGAUGAUCUCGCGGCCUAUCAGCUUGUUGGUGAGGUAAUGGCUCACCAAGGCGACGACGGGUAGCCGGCCUGAGAGGGUGACCGGCCACACUGGGACUGAGACACGGCCCAGACUCCUACGGGAGGCAGCAGUGGGGAAUAUUGCACAAUGGGCGCAAGCCUGAUGCAGCAACGCCGCGUGAGGGAUGAAGGCCUUCGGGUUGUAAACCUCUUUUAGCAGGGAAGAAGCGAAAGUGACGGUACCUGCAGAAAAAGCACCGGCUAACUACGUGCCAGCCGCCGCAGUAA
rnacentral:rRNA from 1 species